rnacentral:tRNA from 1 species
GUAUGUAUAGCUCAGUGGUAGAACGCAUGCCUAGCAUGCAUGAGGCCCUGGGUUGAAUCCUCAGUACCUCCA